rnacentral:hammerhead_ribozyme from 1 species
GCACUGAAGAGUCCCAAAAUAGGACGAAACAGCCGUCAAGUAU